rnacentral:ribozyme from 1 species
GGUGUGGGUACACACAGUCGCCGUGUACACAGUGUUCGAAUGCCCUUCCAACACUUGCUCGAGCUCGUACAUGUCGCCUCCCCCUCCCAUUUCUCCUCCCUCUUUCUCU